UUGUAGCCUGCUAUGGUAUAACUUAGUGGCAGACGGGUGAGUAAUAUAUAGGAAUCUACCUAGUAGUACGGAAUAAUUGUUGGAAACGGCAACUAAUACCGUAUACGCCCUACGGGGGAAAAAUUUAUUGCUAUUAGAUGAGCCUAUAUUAGAUUAGCUAGUUGGUGGAGUAAUAGCCUACCAAGGCAAUGAUCUAUAGCUGAUCUGAGAGGAUGAUCAGCCACACUGGAACUGAGAUACGGUCCAGACUCCUACGGGAGGCAGCAGUGGGGAAUAUUGGACAAUGGGCGAAAGCCUGAUCCAGCCAUGCCGCAUGAGUGAAGAAGGCCUUUGGGUUGUAAAGCUCUUUUAGUGAGGAAGAUAAUGACGGUACUCACAGAAGAAGUCCUGGCUAACUCCGUGCCAGCAGCCGCGGUAAUACGGAGAGGGCUAGCGUUAUUCGGAAUUAUUGGGCGUAAAGGGCGCGUAGGCUGGUUAGUAAGUUAAAAGUGAAAUCCCGAGGCUUAACCUUGGAACUGCUUUUAAAACUGCUAACCUAGAGAUUGAAAGAGGAUAGAGGAAUUCCUAGUGUAGAGGUGAAAUUCGUAAAUAUUAGGAGGAACACCAGUGGCGAAGGCGUCUAUCUGGUUCAAAUCUGACGCUGAGGCGCGAAGGCGUGGGGAGCAAACAGGAUUAGAUACCCUGGUAGUCCACGCUGUAAACGAUGAAUGUUAAAUAUGGGAAGUUUACUUUCUGUAUUACAGCUAACGCGUUAAACAUUCCGCCUGGGGACUACGGUCGCAAGAUUAAAACUCAAAGGAAUUGACGGGGACCCGCACAAGCGGUGGAGCAUGUGGUUUAAUUCGAUGCAACGCGAAAAACCUUACCACUCCUUGACAUGAAAAUCAUACCUAUUC
rnacentral:rRNA from 2 species